GACGAACCGUGCAAACGUUAUUCGGAAUCACUGGGCAUAAAGGGCGCGUAGGCGGCUUUCUAAGUCAGGGGUGAAAUCCGGCAGCUCAACUGUCGCAGUGCCUUUGAUACUGGAGAGCUCGAGGGAGGUAGGGGUCUGUGGAACUUCCGGUGGAGCGGUGAAAUGCGUUGAUAUCGGAAGGAACGCCGGUGGCGAAAGCGACGGACUGGAUCUCUUCUGACGCUGAGGCGCGAAAGCCAGGGGAG
rnacentral:rRNA from 1 species